rnacentral:rRNA from 1 species
GAUGAACGCUGGCGGCGUGCCUAAUACAUGCAAGUCGAGCGAACGGACGAGGAGCUUGCUUCUCUGAUGUUAGCGGCGGACGGGUGUGUAACACGUGUAUAACCUACCUAUAAGACUGGGAUAACUUCGGGAAACCGGAGCUAAUACCGGAUAAUAUUUUGAACCGCAUGGUUCGAAAGUGAGAGACGGUGUUGCUGUCACUUAUCGAUGGAUCCGCGCUGCAUUAGCUAGUUGUUAAGGUAACGGCUUACCAAGGCAACGAUGCAUAGCCGACCGGAGAGGGGGAUCGGCCACACGGGAACUGAGCCACGGUCCAGACUCCUACGGGAGGCAGCAGUAGGGAAUCUGCCGCAAUGGGCGAAAGCCUGACGGAGCAACGCCGCGUGAGUGAUGAAGGUCUUCGGAUCGUAAAACUCUGUUAUUAGGGAAGAACAUAUGUGUAAGUAACUGUGCACAUCUUGACGGUACCUAAUCAGAAAGCCACGGCUAACUACGUG